GACCUUGUAGGUCGGCUGGUAGAGCGUGCGCGUACAAAGCGUAGGCGGCGUCGAUGCGUGGGUUCGAAUCCCACUGAGGCUA
rfam:Echinostoma caproni strain Egypt genome assembly, scaffold: ECPE_scaffold0014388